AGAGUUUGAUCCUGGCUCAGAUUGAACGCUGGCGGAAUGCUUUACACAUGCAAGUCGAGCGGUAACAGCAGAGCUUGCUCUGGCUGACGAGUGGCGGACGGGUGAGUAAUAUAUCGGAACGUGUCCAAUAAUGGGGGAUAACUAAUCGAAAGGUUGGCUAAUACCGCAUACGCCCUGAGGGGGAAAGCUGGGGAUUCUUCGGAACCUGGCGUUAAUGGAGCGGCCGAUACCUGAUUAGCUAGUUGGUGGGGUAAAAGCCUACCAAGGCAACGAUCAGUAGCUGGUCUGAGAGGACGACCAGCCACACUGAGACCGAGACACGGCCCAGACUCCUACGGGAGGCAGCAGUGGGGAAUUUUGGACAAUGGGGGCAACCCUGAUCCAGCCAUUCCGCGUGAGUGAAGAAGGCCUUCGGGUUGUAAAGCUCUUUCGCAAGGGAAGAAACGAUAUAGUUUAAUAGGCUAUGUUAAUGACGGUACCUUGACAAGAAGCACCGGCUAACUACGUGCCAGCAGCCGCGGUAAUACGUAGGGUGCAAGCGUUAAUCGGAAUUACUGGGCGUAAAGCGUGCGCAGGCUGUUUUGUAAGUCAGAUGUGAAAUCCCCGAGCUCAACUUGGGAACUGCGUUUGAAACUACAAGACUAGAAUAGGUCAGAGGGGGGUAGAAUUCCACGUGUAGCAGUGAAAUGCGUAGAGAUGUGGAGGAAUACCAAUGGCGAAGGCAGCCCCCUGGGAUCAUAUUGACGCUCAUGCACGAAAGCGUGGGGAGCGAACAGGAUUAGAUACCCUGGUAGUCCACGCCCUAAACGAUGUCAACUAGUUGUUGGUGGAGUAAAAUCCAUGAGUAACGUAGCUAACGCGUGAAG
rnacentral:rRNA from 1 species